rnacentral:lncRNA from 1 species
UUUUCUUUUAGUUUUAUUUUCUUUUGUUAAUUUUAGUUUUAUUUUGGGAAUCAAGUGGAUAUAGCAAGGAGAUCAUUAAGGAAAGCUUGAAGAAUACAUUGAAGGAUUACAAUUCGUAUUUAAAAGGGUCUUAUCUCAACUUUUGUAUUCCUUUCAUUUAGUUCUUCAUGUUUGUAAUAAUAUAUUUAUGAGAAUCUCUUUGUUAUUUUGUUAGAAUGAUGAACUAAACAAGUUUAUGUUGGAAUUUAUGUAUUAGCUUAACCUAUUUUCAUUAAUAUCGUGUUAUAUGUUGUUAGAUAUGCAUUUGUUAUCAAAAUAUUGGUGUAUUAAUUAUCAUGUUUAAGAUUACUACAUUUAUUUGACGUCAAUAGAUGUUGUGGUUAGGUAGUUGCCUAAUUAUUGAAAAAUACUUGCACAUAAUGGACCGAAAUAAUUAAUACCAUAGGUUUGUAUGGUUUCGACUAUACGCGUUUAGGCAUCCAGACAUGUAUACCUAUCCUAUGUGACCCGUUGAGUUAUUUUCACAAAAAUUGAAUGCAGUUGUUUGGUUUAGAACGACAUAGAAAUAUGUUAAUGCCAAGCAAUUAUGGUUGAUAUCGCUCGACAGAGGUUAUUGACUAAUUUUGGAAAAUCGGGUCUAACCACAUAGUUUGGUAAUUUGCAUCCACGCAUAAUCGGCUUGAAAAGGGUUAAGCGAAAUCAUAAAUUCCAACAUCUUUUAAAAUCAAACUUUUCCACUUUUUAAGUAUUAUUUAAGUAUUUUAAAUCAAAAUCGAGUUUUCACCUUUUUAUAGUUUUUAAAAUCGAACUUUUAAAUGUGUGUAUCUUUUUCGUUAAUUUAAACAAAUACACUCGUAAUUGAAAACAACACUCUCUGAGGGAUCGAUUGGACUUAAAAGGUCCAUUAUACUACUUGAUCGCGACCCGUACACUUGCGGCGUGCCAUUUAAUACCGAUCAGGGGCUAAGAGAGCGACUGAGGUGGAGAGCUCAAUGGCCUCUAAGGAUAGGAAGAUCCUUGACCUCAAGACCGAGGUUGAGGCUUUGUUGAAAGAGCGUGAUGACGUAAAGAGGGUGGUUGCGAAGGCCCGGGAUGACCUCGGUGUUGCAAAGGACAAGGUCGAGGAUGCGAGGCUCAAACUUAUGCAAAAGACAAAAGAUUUUGAGAGCAAACUCGCGGAGGUUAGGGAGAAGGCCUGGGAGGAGUUUGAAACCUCCGAGGAUUGUGACAAAAUCAAGGGCGAGUAUGCGUCGGGGGCGUACUUCCACACCCUCAGGGAGGCCCGGGCCUUCCUACAUGUGAAAUUACCCGAUGUCACCUCGGAUUAUCUGAAGACUGUGCCUUUUAUCGCUGAUACUUUGGAGCUCUUUGGAUCGGAGGAGUAGGUGGGGAUGACGACAAGGAAGGCCUUGAUGAUGACGUGCAGAUUGACAUCCACAACUUUGACCCUCCCCUUGGUCAUAUAGGAUAGUGUCCCCACUCCGAUCUCUUGUUUUGUAAUUUUUUAGAAACUAGUUUUUUGCCCGAUGAAACAUUUUGCUAUUGAACGAACAUUGCCUUUGUAUAAAACUGUCAAUUUGUCAUGGGAUCUCGAGCACUGCUCGAGGUCAACACACAUGUCGAGCACAUUAAAUUUAAGAAGAUAUAAUCUCGCAAGUGAUGUUCUCGGGAUAACAUUAUCGAGCAAUAUUUUUAGUCUAAGAGUUGCCUAGUAUUAUGAUUGAGGACUCUUGUUUGUAUCCGUCUCGAGGACUAUUAAGUUUCGGGCACUAUACUGGUGUAUCCUUCGUUGAGGUCUUGGGAGACAUGUACCCACGCCGCAAGGAAUGGGACACCUACAGUCACCAUUAACCUGAGCAAUGGUACCACUCCUUGAGGACAAUCGUUAUUGUACGUCUCGAGCACAAUACUCGUGUGUUUCGUUUCAAAGAUUUGGGAGCCAUGUGGCUGACCACAUCUCAAGGGCAUGUAGGGUCGCGCUGCGUACUAUAUCUUGACGACAUGGAAUUAGAUAAUGUCUCGAGGACUCCAGUGCUCGAGGACAUAGAGUCGAACCGUAUCUCGAGGACUUCAGUGAAACACAUCUCGAGGACGUGGAUUCAAACCAUAUCUCGAGGACACCAAGUCAGACCACAUCUCGAGGACUUCAGUGAAAAACCUCUCGAGGACAUGGAUUCAAACCAUAUCUCGAGGAAUUCGAGGAUGAUAACUCUCGAGCCUUGUCAACCGAAGCCGUUUGUAGAUCUAGGUGUUGAUGUGUUCGGGCAUAUCGGGUCAGUCGGGAUUUUCUUUUAGUGGUAUUUUAUGAAUCAAGGCUUCUUGUGGACAGGGCAAUGCUUUGUAUGCUUGCGUGGGGUAAGACUUUGAGGUGCUUAUGCAGGGCAAGGCUUUGAGUGCUUACGCGAGGCAAAGCCGCGCAAGGCUUUGAGGUGCUUACUCGGGGCAAAGCUUUGAGUGCUUGCGUGGGGCAAGGCUUUGAGGCAUAGUGAUCAUAUCUUCAGAAUUAAUUUUAUUUGUAAUAUAUUUUGAAAAUAAACUUGGCAUGCAGGCCUUAUUAAUGAUAAAAAGCUGACUUGGCACGUGGUCCUUAUUAAUGCUAAAAAUUGACUUGGCAUGUAGGCUUAUUUCUAAAACAUGGCGGAGAGAAUCACUUGUGAUAUACCUUUAAGUUUUCGACGUUCCACGGUCUUGGGAGUGGUCUUCCCGAAGUAUCCUUUAAACUGUAUGCACCUCCUGGGAGCUGUCGUAUGACUUCAAAGGGCCCUUUCCAGAUUGGUCCGAGUUUUCCCGAAGCAUGACCAGCGGCUUCUGCUCUUCUCAACACCAAAUCUCCAGCUCUGAAUCUUCGCGAUCUAACCUUUUUAUUGAAGUACUUUGUUGUUCUGUCUUGGUAAGAGACCGUUCUUAAGGUUGCUUGAUCACGAACUUCCAAGAGGUCGAGAUGUUCAAUGGUGCACCCUGCUACUUCGGGACCAAGUCUUCUUUGGUUGGGUAACUUGAUUUCAAUGGGAAUGGUUGCUUCAAUUCCAAAAGCUAACAUGAAGGGGGUCUCCCUGGUUGCGGACCUGUGGGAUGUUCUAUACGUUCAAAGUAUGGAAGGCAAUUCGUCGGACCAAUAAUCUCUUGCAUCUCCAAUCGUUAUUCGGAGGUCUUGCAAUAUAAUCUGAUUGGUGACCUCAGCUAGACCAUUACUUUGAGGAUGAGAGACUGACGUCAGACGGUGGUUAAACCCUAGGUUGGAACAUAAAUCCUUGAAUUGUGCGUUGUCAAGCUGCCGGCCGUUAUCAAUUAUGAGGAUCUUCGGUGUCCCGAACCUGCAUAUGAUGGACCUCCAAAUGAAAGCUCUUAUCUUAGGCUCUGAGAUCGUUGCUAAGGGCUCGGCCUCCACCCACUUUGUAAAGUACUCGACUGCUACAAAUGCAAACUUCAAUUGUCCCCUAGUUAUCGGAAACGAACUGAGGAUGUCAAUCCCCCAUUGCUUGAACGGGGUCGACCAACUGAUGUUGAUGAGGUCCUCUGUGGGAGAGUGGAUAACAUUGCCAAACCUCUGGCACUUGUCACACUUCUUCACAUAUUCUACGACAUACUUCUUCAUGGUAGGCCAGUAAUAUCCGUACUUUAUGAGUUUAAAGGUGCACGAGCCGAGCUCCUUGAUGGUUCCCGCAUACUCCUUCAUGAACUUCCUCUAGGGCUUAGGAGGAUUCCGAAGGCUUAAGGCACCUAAGGUACGAAAGGGUGAGGCUUCUGCGAAAUAAGACCCCAUUAAUAAUGCAAUACCUUGGAGCUUUUGACCGGAUGCUCCUUGCUGCUCGAGGAUCUUCUGGAAGAUUGUCAUUUGUUAUGAAAUAUACAAUUGGGUCAAUCCAUGACGGCUCAUGAUCAAUGUCCAAGACCUCAAUGGUUGGAUUGAUGCUAGGCUCGGUCACAAAUCUGACAUGUACUCUCCUGUCAAGUCCAUCUACUCCCAUGAACACCAGCCUUGAUAAGGCAUCUGCCUUGCAGUUGUCAGCCCGAGCAAUCUUCACAAUUUCACAACUCUUCAAUUUUCGUCCGAGAUCAUGAACUUUUAAGCAAUAUAAGCCCAUUUUUUCGUCUUUCUUUUCAAAUGUUCCGUCAAUCUGCCCAACCACCAGUUGUGAAUCAUUAAAAAUUUUGAUAUUUUCAAGUUCGAGAUUAAUGGCAAGUUCCAUGGCUAUGAUGACAGCCUCAUAUUCCGCCUCAUUGUUGGUUGCCUCGAAUUUGAACCUGAGUGCACAUUGAAUGUCCAUGAGCAUGUCCAACUCGUUAUGAUGACCCCUGCGCCCGAGCCCAAGGAGUUUAAUGCUCCAUCUACGAAAAAUUUCCAAACAUCUAUGGUAGUGCUCUUGCUCUCAUCUGGCUCCCGAGGCUUUGGGGUGAGUUCUGCAAUGAAAUCUGCUAAUGCUUAGGCUUUGAUGGACGGACAGGGUCUGAACUCUAUGUCAAACUCUCCAAGUUCAAUUGCCCACUUUAGUAACCUGCCUGAGACGUCUGGCUUUUGAAGGAUGUGUUACAGAGGCUGAUUAGUGAGCAUCACAAUGGGAUGAGACUGAAAAUAUUGCCGAAGUUUUCGUGCUGCCACUAUUAGGGUAAGGCAAGCUGCCCGGGACAUGAACCUAUUUAGGGCUGCUAUCCUACCUGUCAAUUUUUGGACAUCUUUCUUAGUCCUGGGCGAUUCCAUUGCUGUCAAGGCCUGUCGGGGUUUGCUUCUUAUCCCUCGGUGAGUGAUCAUGAAGCCCAAAAAUUUUCCCGAAGCUAUACCGAACAGACACUUCUCUGAGUUGAGCUUCAUCCGAUAUUUUCGUAGGGUGGCGAACAUCUCCUCUAGGUUGGAUAUGUGCUGCUCUACCUUCUUACUCUUUACCACCAUGUCGUCAACACAGGCCUCGAUGUUCUUCCUUAUCAAAUUAGCGAAGACUUUGUUGAUGAGCCUCUGAUAUGUUGCCCCAACAUUUUUCAACUCAAAUGACAUCACCCUAUAAUAGUAUAUGGUAGAAUUAGCCAUGAAUGAAGUCUUCUCUUGGUCUUUCUAGGCCAUGAGGAUUUGAUGAUACCCUAAGAAUGCAUCUAAAAUGCUGUACAACUUAUGUCCGGAUGUGCUAUCCACAAAAUUGUCAAUCCUGGAUAGCGGUAGCUGUCUUUAGGGCACACCUUAUUGAGAUCUGUAAAGUCGAUGCAGACCCUCCAUUUACCACUGGCCUUCUUCACAAGAACAACAUUAGCGAGCCAAUCGGGGUAUUGAACUUCCCUUAUGAACCUUGCUCUCACCAGUUUGCCGACCUCUUCUUGAAUGACCACAUGUCUUUCUGGUGCAAACUGCCUCUUCCUUUGCUUAACAGGUUUAAUGUUGAGUUUAUGGACUGUUACUUCAGGGUCUAUCCCUACCAUAUCUUCGACCUUUCAUGCGAAAACAUCAAUAUUACGGGACAGACAAUUGAUAACUUCCUCCCGGAGGCUGGCCUUGAGGUCCCGACCGAUUGUUACCAUAUUUUUCAUGCUCGAUCUCGACCAUUCCCAAUUCCUCAAUCGGGGCAAGUCUACUCCUUGGCUCGAGCUCGAGCUCGAGGUUUGAAAGUUGCAUGACGCCUGUACUUAGUCCUCGGAUGCUAGUAACAUAGCAUUGUUUGGCAGCUGAUCGGUCUCCUCGAAUUACUCCGAUGCCAUGACUUGUUGGGAACUUUAUGGCUAGGUGGAAAGUUGAUACAAUGGCUUGGAUCUUGUUCUGUAAGGGUCUUCCCAGGAUGACGUUGUAAGCCAUAGGAGUGUUAACCACUUGGAAAUGUGUGAUCUCUGUCACUUGUGCAUUGUCAGAACCUAACGUCAGCGGAAGCUCGACGAUGCCUUUCGCGAUAAUGACUCUACCACCAAAUCCUUGUAGCGGAGUUUUUAUUGCUUUGAGCUGUUUGGGAGAGAUCCCCAUUUUAGCGAAAGCCUCCUGCGAGAGUAUAUUUGCUACAAUCCCAUUAUCAACCAGAAUCCUCUUUAAUUCAAAGUUAGCCACAAUUGCAGAGACGACCAAGGCAUCGUCAUGAGGAUAUGAUACUCCUUCCAAAUCUCUUGCUACAAAAAUAAUGUCUUUGACUUUAUUAUGGGAUUCCUUUGAGGUAUGAGUAUGUUGGCGGGCAAAUUGCUUUCGCCCACUACUUGUGUCUGUUCCAGAUGCUAUGCCUCCAAUGAUAAUAUUAAUGGUCCCAGCAGUGGGUUGAGCACUGCUUCCGGCUCCAGGCUCUUUCCGAUUGUCAUCGUCAUUACUCGGGUGUUUAUCAUUCCCAAUGUAAUUCCUUAAGAGCCCUCUUUUAAUGAGGGCUUCAAUUUCCCACUGCAAGGCUUGACAAUCCUCUGUGGUAUGCCCAUGAUAUCGGUGAAAUUCACAAUACUUGCUCCUUUCUCUUGUCUCAGGGGGCGACUUCAUUCUUGAAGGCCACUUUAACUCUUUCAUAUCUUUGAUCUCCAUUAAGAUAUUUACCUUGGAGGUGUUCAACCGGGUGAGAGUCCCUGGUGGCCCUUCAUUCUUGUGCUUGUCCCGAGGAUGCUCUGGUCGGGAAACGGGAUCAUGUUGCUUCUUGUUCUCAGCCUUUUCAUGGGAAGUACCAGAUUUCAUUGGAUUCAGCGUUUCCUCCAUAUUAAUAUUUUUCAACUCGGGUGAGGAGCUCGGUCACUGUUUGUGGUGGGUCCUUCGAUAAGGACAUCUUGAAGGCUUCACACCUUAUGGCGUAUGUGAGGGCGGAGACAGCCACCUUAAUGUGAAAGUCAGUUAUUUGAAGUUUUUCCUUAUUAAACAUCGUCAUAAAUCCUCGUAGAGUUUCAUUUGGUCCUUUGCGAAAUUGCAUAAGAGAGGCUGCAGUCUUUCUGAUUUGCUUGCUAUUUGCAAAGAAGGUUGAGAACUUAUCAGUCAAAUCUGAGAAUGAGGCUAUGGAGUUAGGCUCCAAUGUCGAGAACCAAUCUCUAGCAGCAUUAGUCAGCAUUUGCGGGAAAGCUUUGCACAUAACUUGAUCCGGCGCCAUUUGCAAGUUCAUGACAUCGAUAUAUACAUUGAGAUGGUUGAUUGGGUCGGUCGUCCCAUCAUACUCUUUAAUGCGAGGAUAUUUGAAUCUGUCGGGCAGGGGAUACAACAAUAUCUCCGGCGAGAAUGGGGUGUUAGGGGUAAAACUUGUUGGCCCCCGAGCAUUUCGUUGCAGGUCGGCUGUAAUUCCUUCUUGAAUGAUACGGGCAAUCUCUCUGGAAUCUAUAGCAACUGAUCUCGAGCCCGAGGCCAUGUUACAAAUACCCGAGGUCCCUACUUCGCCAGUUGCGAGGUUUGGUGCUCGGGCUCGAGCAUCAUUCAUAAAACCACCAUGCUCUGCCUGCACCGGUGACGGAUGCAAAUUUCUUUGACUUAAUAGCUGCGUUAGCGUGGCUACCGCUAACGAAGCCCUUCGAAGGCUUCAGUUGUGACGAUCACCGGCUAGGGUGCAGGCACUCCUGACGACUUUUCUUAAGGAGUCGGUUGAUCUUCAGCAGGAUGAGGGAUGGGGGUGGAUGAGCUUGCGGGAGGAAGACUUGAUCGCGUGUUAACCAUGGCUUCUGGUAGCGUUUCCCACAGACGGCGCUAAUGAUACUACCAAAAAUCGUACUUAUUGAUUUUCUGAGCUUGAUGACUUUGGAUGAGCACGAUCGUAGUCUUCCGGUACUUGAAAUAAAGGCAACGAGGUGUGUCCUCGUCGCCCCUCCGAUGCUUAAAUCAGGAAGGGAAUUAUGUACGUGAGGCUAUAAAUGAGAGAAUAAUGAAAACGCAUCUGAAUAAUGUCCAAGGUUGGUAUUUGUAGGGGUAGGUAGUACAUCCCUAAUAGAAUUGGAAUCGGGUGGAUGUUCUUAUCCGGUAGAAUUGUUUGUGAGGAAUGUCCUACUCGUAAUGGAAUUGUUUGACUAGUGGCGCUACAGUUGAUAUAGAGUCCUUGGACGUUUAGGCGUCUGUUCGUUGGACAUAUACAUCUCGAAGAUCUGUUAAUGAACAAUGACCCGAGGACAUAUUUUCGAGGACAAUAGGGAGUGAGUUUUCAUAUUCGUAUGAGCACAGUCCUUGAGAUACAAUCCUCGAGGACUAAAAAUAUCUUGAGGACAUUUUGGCAGAAAAGUGAGGCGGAGCAUGUAGGGAGUCCUCGAGGAAAAAGGUCCUCGGGUAUGCAAUAUUGGUAUUAUCACUAUCAAUUUAGUUUGAACUUGUAAAUUACUGUUGUAUGGUAUCUUAAUUACCUGUUAUUUUAGUUGAUUUAGAGUAAAAUUUCUAAUUCUUGAAUUUCUGCAUUUUGAAUGACAUUGCAUUUGUAUGCGUCAUUUUCAGAUAAGGUGCUUUAACCGGGUUGGAGGAGAUGUGCGAGACUUCUUCAAAAUAUCUUGGAGAUAUUGCGUGACCAUAUAGCUGCCGUGUAAUUUAAAUUCAUGCAGGAUCUUUUGUAAAAGAUGAUAAUAAACUUAGCAUAUCAUAUUUGUUUGUUACCAUGAAUCUUGUAUGUUUUCGUGGGUUAAUGAGGUAAUGUAUAGUCGAUUUUUGGAUUCUCUUCACUUCUGAUUGAUCUAACAUGACUCGUGUGCUUUACACUUCA